rnacentral:rRNA from 1 species
GACGAACGCUGGCGGCGUGCCUAAUACAUGCAAGUAGGACGCAGUUGCGAACGGGUGAGUCACGCGUAGGUAACUGCCUAUUAGAGGGGGAUAACUAUUGGAAACGAUAGCUAAUACCGCAUACUAGUAGAUGGACCUGCGUUGUAUUAGCUAGUAGGUAGGGUAAUGGCCUACCUAGGCAACGAUACAUAGCCGACCUGGGAGGGUUAUCGGCCACACUGUGACUGGGACACGGCCCAGACUCCUACGGGAGGCAGCAGUAGGGAAUCUUCGGCAAUGGGGGGAAGCCUGACCGAGCAACGCCGCGUGAGUGAAGAAGGUUCUCGGGUCGGAAAGCUCUUUUGUUAAGGAAACGGUACUUAACCAGAAAGGUACGGCUAACUACGUGCCAGCAGCCGCGGUAAUUC